UCCGGCAUGGUGUAGUGGCUAGCAUUUCCGCCUCUCAUUCGAUAUUCUCAAUCACUGAGUACGUCGACGGUCGCGGGAGACCGGGGUUCAAUUCCCCGUACCGGAA